UGGGGAAUCUUGGACAAUGGGCGCAAGCCUGAUCCAGCCAUGCCGCGUGGAUGAUGAAGGCCUUAGGGUUGUAAAAUCCUUUCGUUGGGGACGAUAAUGACGGUACCCAAAGAAGAAGCUCCGGCUAACUUCGUGCCAGCAGCCGCGGUAAUACGAAGGGGGCUAGCGUUGUUCGGAUUUACUGGGCGUAAAGCGCGUGUAGGCGGAUUUGUAAGUUGGGGGUGAAAUCCCGAGGCUCAACCUCGGAACUGCCUCCAAAACUACAAGUCUGGACCUAAGUAGAGGCAAGUGGAAUUGCGAGUGUAGAGGUGAAAUUCGUAGAUAUUCGCAGGAACACCAGUGGCGAAGGCGACUUGCUGGACUUAUGGUGACGCUGAGACGCGAAAGCGUGGGGAGCAAACAGGAUUAGAUACCCCGGUAGUCCCUGAGCGGGCUGGCAAGGCGCAU
rnacentral:rRNA from 1 species